AAGGAUAGCUCAUUAAAUCCCCCUGGAAGGGUGCCUUAGGCCUACCGAUUUUUCAUUAAGGGUGCCUUAAGCCUACCGGUCCAAGGUUCAUCAUUUCACACAUGAGAAGGGCUACCACCAUUAGGUCUACCGAUUUCAUGGUUUUACAUUUACUUAGGAAAGCUAGACUUAUGAAAGGGCACCAUUUCUUAGUUUUGCCGAUUC
rnacentral:lncRNA from 1 species